rnacentral:misc_RNA from 1 species
UACUAUCACUAUAUUAUCUUUUGUUUACUGCUGUGGAAAUGAAUAUGUGUUGUAUAAAUUUUAGAAGUAUGAUUUUUAGUGAUGAUAUUAAUAGUAAUAAAAUGAAUAUUUUUCUUAACAAAUGCAUAUUUUAUCAUAAAAAGAUCUGUUUAUAUAGUGAAAAUAUUAAAAUUUGUCAAGUACUUUUGUAUAAUAUCAAAAUAAAAUUAUUAAAAUUGCUAUUAUAACAUUAAUUAAUUAUAUUAAUAUUCUCUUAAUAUAAUUAACUAUGUAAUUGAAAUUCUAA